GAAUCAGAAACCCAGAGAAUCCCCUGAAAGUGCGUCCCCUUGGGCAGAGGACCAGUGGGAUAGAAAUGGGCUCUCGACUGCUGUGGACCAGGGCUGCUCCACCUCUGCAGAUGAUGCUCUCUUAGCUCCACCCUCCCUCAGGUGGGCAGUCCAGUUUUGGGGCCAUAGACGUGGCUGAGUGGACACAGAGUUCUGCCGUUCAGUGGGCACUCCACCCACCACCCCUGUUCCCAAUAGGACCCUCCACAAGCACCCAGGGGCCUCCCACAUCCCUGGCCCAGCACAAGCAGAGAGGACACCACGGAUCCCAGCCCAAACCAUUGGCUCCUGUUCAGCAGCACCCACUUCCUACUCCUGGUAUUUCUGGCAUCCGUGCUCCUGAGCAUGCCCAGUGCUGUCCUCUGGGUGAACAGACCUCAGGGAUGCUCUGGGAUGAGUCAGAGCCAGCAGGACUAUGAGAACUAGU